AAAGCUCGUAGUCGGAUGUCGGGCGCGGUCGAUCGGUCCGUCGCGAGACGUGUCACUGGUCGGCCGGCCAAUGCAGCCUGUGUCCCGGCGGUGCUCUUGAUUGAGUGCCGCCGGUGGGCCAGGCCGGUUACUUUGAAAAAAUUAGAGUGUUCAAAGCAGGCCCUGGGAGCCUGAAUAUCGGUGCACGGAAUAACGAAAGAGGACCUCGGUCUUGCUUUUGUUGGUUUUUGAAGGCGCGAGGUAAUGAUCGAGAGAGACGGACGGGGGCAUCCGUACUGUGCCGUCAGAGGUGAAAUUCUUGGACCGGCGCAAGACGAACUACUGCGAAAGCAUUUGCCAAGAAUGUUUUCCUUGAUCAAGAGCGAAAGUCAGAGGUUCGAAGACGAUCAGAUACCGUCCUAGUUCUGACUGUAAACGAUGCCGACUGGCGAUCGGGCGGCGUUUGCUUUUGAAGACCCGCCCGGCAGCCUCCGGGAAACCAAAGUCUUUGGGUUCCGGGGGAAGUAUGGUUGCAAAGCUGAAACUUAAAGGAAUUGACGGAAGGGCACCACCAGGAGUGGAGCCUGCGGCUUAAUUUGACUCAACACGGGGAAUCUCACCCGGCCCGGACACAGCGAGGAUUGACAGAUUGAGAGCUCUUUCUUGAUUCUGUGGGUGGUGGUGCAUGGCCGUUCUUAGUUGGUGGAGCGAUUUGUCUGGUUAAUUCCGAUAACGAACGAGACUCUGGCCUGCUAAAUAGUUACGCGACCCCUGAGCGGUCGGCGGAUUGAACUUCUUAGAGGAACUAGCGGCGUUUAGCCGCACGAGAUUGAGCAAUAACAGGUCUGUGAUGCCCUUAGAUGUUCGGGGCCGCACGCGCGCUACACUGACCGGAUCAGCGUGUCUUUCCCUGGGCCGAAAGGUCCGGGUAAUCCGCUGAACCCCGGUCGUGCUUGGGAUAGAGAGUUGCAAUUGUCGCUCUUGAACGAGGAAUUCCCAGUAAGC
rnacentral:rRNA from 1 species